AGCGAACGCUGGCGGCAGGCCUAACACAUGCAAGUCGAACGGACCCUUCGGGGUUAGUGGCGGACGGGUGAGUAACACGUGGGAACGUGCCUUUAGGUUCGGAAUAGCUCCUGGAAACGGGUGGUAAUGCCGAAUGUGCCCUUCGGGGGAAAGAUUUAUCGCCUUUAGAGCGGCCCGCGUCUGAUUAGCUAGUUGGUGAGGUAAUGGCUCACCAAGGCGACGAUCAGUAGCUGGUCUGAGAGGAUGACCAGCCACAUUGGGACUGAGACACGGCCCAAACUCCUACGGGAGGCAGCAGUGGGGAAUCUUGCGCAAUGGGCGGAAGCCUGACGCAGCCAUGCCGCGUGGAUGAUGAAGGUCUUAGGAUUGUAAAAUCCUUUCACCGGGGACGAUAAUGACGGUACCCGGAGAAGAAGCCCCGGCUAACUUCGUGCCAGCAGCCGCCGUAAGAC
rnacentral:rRNA from 1 species